UUCUUGUGGGAUGCAACGCGUAGCCGAAGCGGAUUCUUCCCGUUGCUGCGGUUUGAGUUUAUAACCUUCACCUGCCUUCGGCAUCGUCUGCUUCACUCUUUCUCCCUUUCUGAAGAAUCAAACGCGCAGCCAAAUUCUGCAGGGGCUGCGUUCUGUUAAGGGGUCUCGCUUUGUGGCUGUACUACGAGAGAGAAUUUGGGGUGAAUAGGGGUAUGGCGUCUUCGGAUGAUGAGGCCAAAGUUCGUCCACAAUCUGUGUCAAAUUACCAUUUGGAAGAUGAUGAGAAAGAGCCUGUUUCAUUUUCUGUAUUGCCAAUUCAAUGGAGUGAAUCUGAGGAUACAAAUGGCGAAAGUGGGCAAGUGUCCCAGGAUAAAUGGAUAGUGUAUCUUGCACCUAUUUCAUAUGGUAAAUGAUACACAUCCCACGGUCGCCAUUUUACACAAGUGGAAAAACUUGAAGAGAUUGUUGAUAGGCGCCAUUGGUAUGUCCAAGGUGGUGAUAUGAUUGUGGACUUCUGCUAUGGUGCUAAUUUUUUUAGCAUCCUGAUGAACAAAAAGCUGGAAGAAACAGGGAAGAAAUGCUUUUACAAAAACCACGAUUCACUUCCAACAAAGAAUGAUUUUAUUUUGAAAUGAGGAACUGGAUGGAUGUCAAACUGAAGGAGUUGCCUAUGGGUUCAAAAUUGAUUAUGGGCCUCAAUCCCCCUUUUGGUGUUCAUGGAAAAGAUGCUAACAUGUUUGUCAAGAAGGCUCUUGAGUUUCAACCUAAACUCCUCAUUCUUAUUGUUCCUCCAGACACAGAAAGGUAUUUGUCUUCCAACCCUUCGCUGCCACCAACUUUUCUUUUCCCUUUCUCAAGACAAAUGAUGUUUCCUUACAUACUGAACAAAACAAGCCUUUUGUUCUGUUUGUCACAUUCUUCCCUUUUCUGCAGGCUAGAUAAUAAUCAACCUCCAUAUGAUCUUGUUUGGGAGGAUAAGAACUUCCUGUUAGGAAAGUCGUUUUAUCUCCCCGGACCACUUGAUGUUAAUGGGAGACAAAUGGAUCAAUAGAACAUGAGGGGACCUAUACCUUAUCUUUGGAGUCGUCAUGAUUGGACUAAUAAACACAAGGCGAUAGCCCACAAGCAUGCUAAUGUCCCCAGCGAAUGUGAUGCGCUGAUAGAAAAGAGAUUUGAUGAAAUCUCACUUGCUGAUCAUAUUAUGAAUGGUAAUCAUGGCGACAAUCUCACACUCGGUCAUGACCUUCCCCCCAAAGCAAGACUAUGAUCCCAAAGAUAGUCGGGUUUCAAGGAAGGAGGGUGAGGAAGAAAUCUCGUCUCAUGAUCUUGCCUUUGGGAAUCAUGUGGUACGAGAACACUGCUCAAUAAAUCUUUGAGAGAAUGUUCGCUAUGAAUAUGCACUUGAGAAUGUUUUUUUGUAUCUUCUCCAUGUGUUCUCUUACUUCAUUCAAUAUCACUUCUACCUGUAGCGCAGCUUUGAAGUUGUCUGUUAGAUGCAACCGUUGGAACUUCUGUAGAGCAUUAAAUGAAACUUUCCGUUGAAGUUUCAGUCCGAAGUGGUUGGAUGCAUUUAAUGCCUCUGAUAGGAGUACUUUUAGAUCUUAAUCUUGUUAAAUCUCAAAUCUUUCUUUGAACUCCUGCAAAGAGUGUUAUAAUCUUUCAGUUCAUAACCCAUACUGGAUUCAA